GGAGAUGCAUUUAGAAGACACCACAAGAUUCUGUCCCAAGGAAGAAAGAGAAAGUGAACAAACGUCUUUCAGCGAUCAGAAUCCCAGGCAAGACCAGAAAGGGGGCUUUCGCAGCUCCUUCCGCAAGCUCUUUAAAAAGAAAAAUGGGAACGCAACGGGUGAAGAUUUCUGUGGUCCUUGGGGCUGGUGGUGACAUCAGAGCUUUCCCAUUUUCAGGGACUUCUGACAUGAACAAACUGGAGAAGGUGCAGAGCUGGAAUGGAUUACCCAAGUGGCUUAACCAAGAUAAAGGAAGAAGGCACCCUCGACUGGGGACUCCAGUGGACUGAGUGGAGUUGUUGACUAUUGAUUGGCCUUGGUCUUCUUUGUGGUGGUUGAGAUUACAGUAUCUCUGCAAUCUGAUUACUGUACAAAUUUCUGCAUUCUACCAAAUGUAGCAUACAUGUGUGGUUGGCUUCAAUAAAUCUUUCAUUUA